CGCAGGCGCAGUCUGCGCAGGGACUGGCGGGACUGCGCGGCGGCGACUACAGACGUGUCGGGGGUCCGGGGCCUGUCGCGGUUGCCAAGCGCUCGGCGCUUGGCGCUGGCGCUGGCCAAGGCGCCUUUACUGUUCCAGGAUACAGAUCUCCUGAUUCAGGUGUCCAGUGCCUUUUGAACUGACCGCAAGCCCUCCUGGACGAUUGGAACUGUAAUGUGGAAAGGGC
rnacentral:lncRNA from 1 species